UGGGGUGUGGCUCAAUGGCAGAGCAUUUGCCUAGCAUAAACACAGCCCUGUGUUGGAUCCCCAGCACCACAA
rnacentral:tRNA from 1 species